CUCAGAUAUCCUACCCAUCUGUCUCCCCGCGCAACCGCAGGGAAGCCCCACCACUCCACCUGCCACUGCUCAGCCGCUUGCUCCUCCCCUAGGUGGGCAGUGACCCUGUCAUCACCAGGGCCUAACUUCAGCCACAGCUUCCCUCAGUAGGCUGUUUGCCUUCUUCCUCCUUGAAUCAAGAUAAGAAGGUGGAAUGUUUCAUGUUUGGAAUGUUUGCAAAACGACUCUGUCCUUACACAUUACAGCAUAUGGAUGAAGAAAAAGGAGAAACUACUUAAUAUUUAUCAAUUAAAUAUCUAUUCUGCUCUUCACACCAUCAUUAGCUAUAGUGUUUUGCCUGCACGCCAGAAGAGGGUGCCGAGAUCACAUUAAAGAUGGUUGUCAGCCACCAUGUGGUUGCCGGAAUUGAACUCAGAGACCAAUCACAGCUCAUGCUUUGCAUGAUGCAGAAGAACAAAAGAGGGAAGCCUUUAAGGAAAACCUGCAGGUUUUCUUUCCCUGCCCAUCAUUAACAUAGCCAAGGACACUCUGGUCACUGUGUGUUCUUCCUGUGAACCUUCCAAAUUCUGACGAAGCUUGGAAUUGAACAUUUCAAAAACAAGUAGUCACAUAACAGGGAUCUCUCUGGAUUGCUUCAAUGUGUCAGCAGCAGAUCCCAUGUUCUGAUGCUCUGUUGAAUGGCAAGGAGAUGGACAUGGAGGACAGUCUAGAAAGAUUGCCAUAUGAAUCUUAAAGAAAGUUAUCUUGACUCUAUCCAAUAUAUGUCUGUGUUUAAAUAAACACUAGAGGGAAGUUCCUUGGAAUCCUCUCUUACAACUCAUAAUGCAAUGGGGUUGGUCCUCUCUGGCCAAAGAUCACUGAAUCUGUUAGAGCAUCUCCCGGAGUCGGAGUCCUCAUCUGGCUUGAGAAGGCAUUUAUGAUGCUUUAAGUACUAGUCCUCUUGGUCAUUUUUGCUGGGAAUUGAACUUAGGACCUCUGGGAAAGUAGCCAGUGCCCUUAAUCUAUGACCAUGUCUCCAGCCCCUGGUCAUGAUUUCCUAAUAAUUCAACAUGUCUUCUUAGAAUCAACACGGUAUUGAAUAUUGCAAAACACUAAGUUGAUUUAUGGUGUAAGGAGGAUGUGUCUGGGUUUUAUGCUAUUUCUACUCAAUUUUACAUAGGAGACCUGGCCAUCCCAAGAUGUGAUAUUGAUGUGGGGGUCUGGAACCAAGUCCCAUGUAUACAGAGAACUGACUGUAUGCUGACUGUUAACUACACCUUCUAGAAAGUGUCAAGGUGAUAUUCAGAAUCGUGGGUAAGAUACAUUAACACAGAUGAGUCUGGCCCAUGUAUUAUUUUACAGGGUCAAUGUAGAGAAGGUGGCAGAGACUCAAACAGUGAUCAUCAAGAGCCCUUCUAUCUUGUCUCUUAACUUGCCUGUUCUAUGACAAGAGCUGUCCAGAGAAAAAACAAGGUAAAUCCCAGAGAUAAUAACCUUCAUUGCUCUCUGCUUUUUAACUUCUUUCUGAAGAUAUCUGUUGGGAGGCCAUCUACAGGAAGUACAUUAAACAGCAUCUGACAUAAACCUGACCAAUCUCUCCCCUUCGGUGCACACCAAGUACCCAUUACUCACAGGCACAAUAGUAGUCUUCAAAGGAGGACACAGGAAGAAAGGUGGGAUCCACUUCUCCUGCUGGUCAUUGGUCACCAUGUUUGUGGUCUGAUGAAGCAAGAUUUUUUUUUUUCUGUUCAAAGCAAUAAAACAUCUAUUGCUGUGUGCUAAGAAUCAGA